AAUCAACGCUGGCGGCGUGCCUAACACAUGCAAGUCGAACGCGGUUACCCCGCAAGGGGUAACUGAGUGGCGAACGGGUGAGUAACACGUGGGUGACCUACCUUCGAGUGGGGGAUAACGUCCCGAAAGGGACGCUAAUACCGCAUAACAUCCUGUCCUUGAACGGAUGGAGAUCAAAGCCGGGGAUCGCAAGACCUGGCGUUUGAAGAGGGGCCCGCGUCUGAUUAGCUAGUUGGUGGGGUAAAGGCCUACCAAGGCGACGAUCAGUAGCUGGUCUGAGAGGACGAUCAGCCACACUGGGACUGAGACACGGCCCAGACUCCUACGGGAGGCAGCAGUGGGGAAUUUUGGACAAUGGGCGAAAGCCUGAUCCAGCAAUGCCGCGUGUGUGAAGAAGGCCUUCGGGUUGUAAAGCACUUUUGUCCGGAAAGAAAUGGCUCUGGUUAAUACCUGGGGUCGAUGACGGUACCGGAAGAAUAAGGACCGGCUAACUACGUGCCAGCCGCCGCAGUAAAAC
rnacentral:rRNA from 1 species